AACGAACGCUGGCGGCAGGCUUAACGCAUGCAAGUCGAACGCAUCCUUCGGGGUGAGUGGCAGACGGGUGAGUAACGCGUGGGAACGUGCCCUUCAGUUCGGGAUAACCCAGGGAAACUUGGGCUAAUACCGGAUACGUGCGAGAGCAGAAAGAUUUAUCGCUGAAGGAUCGGCCCGCGUCUGAUUAGCUAGUUGGUGGGGUAAUGGCCCACCAAGGCGACGAUCAGUAGCUGGUCUGCGAGGAUGGUCAGCCACAUUGGGACUGAGACACGGCCCAAACUCCUACGGGAGGCAGCAGUGGGGAAUAUUGGACAAUGGGCGCAAGCCUGCACCAGCCAUGCCGCGUGAGUGAUGAAGGCCUUAGGGUUGUAAAGCUCUUUCGUCCGGGACGAUAAUGACGGUACCGGAAGAAGAAGCCCCGGCUAACUUCGUGCCAGCCGCCGCGGUAACAC
rnacentral:rRNA from 1 species